AGUGAACGCUGGCGGUAGGCCUAACACAUGCAAGUAGAACGGCAGCACAGUAAGAGCUUGCUCUUACGGGUGGCGAGUGGCGGACGGGUGAGGAAUACAUCGGAAUCUACUUUUUCGUGGGGGAUAACGUAGGGAAACUUACGCUAAUACCGCAUACGACCUACGGGUGAAAGCAGGGGAUCUUCGGACCUUGCGCGAUUGAAUGAGCCGAUGUCGGAUUAGCUAGUUGGCGGGGUAAAGGCCCACCAAGGCGACGAUCCGUAGCUGGUCUGAGAGGAUGAUCAGCCACACUGGAACUGGGACACGGUCCAGACUCCUACGGGAGGCAGCAGUGGGGAAUAUUGGACAAUGGGCGCAAGCCUGAUCCAGCCAUACCGCGUGGGUGAAGAAGGCCUUCGGGUUGUAAAGCCCUUUUGUUGGGAAAGAAAAGCAGCAGGUUAAUACCCCGCUGUUCUGACGGUACCCAAAGAAUAAGCACCGGCUAACUUCGUG
rnacentral:rRNA from 1 species